rnacentral:rRNA from 1 species
GUAGUCUGCAACUCGACUACAUGCAGCUGGAAUCGCUAGUAAUCGCGAAUCAGAAUGUCGCGGUGAAUACGUUCCCGGGUCUUGUACACACCGCCCGUCACACCAUGGGAGUUGGAAAUGCCCGAAGUCAGUGACCCAACCGAAAGGAGGGAGCUGCCGAAGGUGGAGCCGAUGACUGGGGUGAAGUCGUAACAAGGUACC